rnacentral:rRNA from 1 species
GACGAACGCUGGCGGCGUGCUUAACACAUGCAAGUCGAACGGUGAAGCGCCUUCCUUUUUGGUGGGUGUGGAUGAGUGGCGAACGGGUGAGUAACACGUGAGUAACCUGCCCCCUUCUUCUGGAUAACCGCAUGAAAGUGUGGCUAAUACGGGAUAUUCUGGGUCUGUCGCAUGAUGGGUCUGGGAAAGAUAUUGUUUCGGUGGGGGAUGGGCUCGCGGCCUAUCAGCUUGUUGGUGGGGUGAUGGCCUACCAAGGCGGUGACGAGUAGCCGGCCUGAGAGGGUGGGCGGUCACACGAGGGCGGAAACACGGCCCAGACUCCGACAGGAAGCAGCAGGGAGGAUUAUGGCACAAUGGACGGGAGGCUGAUGCAGCGACGCCGCGUGAGUGAUGGUGUCCUGCGGGUUAUGAACCUCUUUCGCCGGUGAAGCAGGCCUGCCUCGUUUGUGGGUGGGUUGACGGUAGCUGGAUAAGAAGCGCCGGCUAACUACGUG